rnacentral:rRNA from 1 species
GACGAACGCUGGCGGCGUGCUUAACACAUGCAAGUCGAACGGAAAGGCCUCUUUCGGGGGGUACUCGAGUGGCGAACGGGUGAGUAACACGUGAGUAACCUGCCCUUGACUUUGGGAUAACUUCCGGCAACUGGGGCUAAUACCGGAUAGGAGCUCCUGCUGCAUGGUGGGGGUUGGAAAGUUUCGGCGGUUGGGGGUGGACUCGCGGCUUAUCAGCUUGUUGGUGGGGUAGUGGCUUACCAAGGCUUUGACGGGUAGCCGGCCUGAGAGGGUGACCGGCCACACUGGGACUGAGGGACGGCCCAGACCCCUACGGGAGGCAGCAGUGGGGAAGAUUGCACAAUGGGUGGAAGCCUGAUGCAGCAACGCCGUGUGCGGGAUGACGGCCUUCGGGUUGUAAACCGCUUUCGCUCAUGACGAAGCUUUGUGUGACGGUAGUGGGUAAAGAAGCACCGGCUAACUACGUG